UUUUAGCCACGAAUUGCACAAAUUUUCACGAAUUAUAAUUUAAGAAUUCGUGAAAAUUUGUGCAAUUCGUGGCUAACU
rnacentral:sRNA from 1 species